CCUACGGGUGGCAGCAGUGGGGAAUAUUGCACAAUGGGGGGAACCCUGAUGCAGCGACGCCGCGUGAGUGAAGAAGUAUCUCGGUACGUAAAGCUCUAUCAGCAGGGAAGAAAAUGACGGUACCUGACUAAGAAGCCCCGGCUAACUACGUGCCAGCAGCCGCGGUAAUACGUAGGGGGCAAGCGUUAUCCGGAUUUACUGGGUGUAAAGGGAGCGUAGACGGCACUGCAAGUCCGGAGUGAAAGCCCAAGGCUUAACCAUGGGACUGCUCUGGAAACUGUGGAGCUUGAGUGCGGGAGGGGUAGGCGGAAUUCGUGGUGUAGCGGUGAAAUGCUUAGAUAUCACGAAGAACUCCGAUUGCGAAGGCAGCUUACUAAACUGCCACUGACAUUGAUGCUCGAAAGUGUGGGUAUCAAACAGGAUUAGAUACCCGGGUAGUC
rnacentral:rRNA from 1 species